rnacentral:tRNA from 1 species
GAAGGCCGUGGCUCAGGGGCAGAACAUGUGCUCUGCAUGCAGAAGGUCCUGGCUUCAAUCCCCAGCAUUUUCA